UCCAACUUAUCGCUGGCGGUCUCCUGCGAGUUCCCAACUAAAUGAUGGCAACACAGGACGAGGGUUGCGCUCGUUGGCGGACUUAACCGUACACCUCACGGCACGAGCUGACGACAGCCAUGCAACAAGUGUCUUCAUGUCCCCUUUUGGGGGAGGGCCCGAUCUCUCGGGCUUACAAUCGAUGUCAAACCUGGGUAAGGUUCUUCGGUUAGUAUCGAAUUAAUCCACAUGCUCCACCGCUUGUGCGGGUCCCCGUCAAUUCAUUUGAGUUUCAACCUUGCGGCCGUACUCCCCAGGCGGGAUGCUUAAAGCGUUAGCUGCGCCACUGACGAGUAAACCCGCCAACGGCUAGCAUCCAUCGUUUACGGCGUGGACUAC
rnacentral:misc_RNA from 1 species